CCUACGGCGGGCAGCAGUGGGGGAUAUUGCACAAUGGGGGGAACCCUGAUGCAGCGACGCCGCGUGGGUGAAGGAGUGCUUCGGCAUGUAAAGUCCUAUCGGCAGGGAAGAAUCAAGACGGUACCUGACUAAGAAGCCCCGGCUAACUACGUGCCAGCAGCCGCGGUAAUACGAAGGGGGCGAGCGUUAUCCGGAUUCACUGGGUGGAAAGGGCGGGUUGACGGCCAUGCAAGCCAGGUGUGAAAACCCUGGGCCCAACCCCGGGACUGCCCUUGGAACUGCAUGGCUGGAGUGCGGGAGGGGCAGGCGGAAUUCCUGGUGUAGCGGUGAAAUGCGUAGAUAUUGCGAGGAACUCCGAUUGCGAAGGCAGCAUACCGGAGGCGAUCUGACGCUGAGGCACGAAAGCGUGGGUAGCGAACAGUAUUAGAUACCCGAGUAGUC
rnacentral:rRNA from 1 species